UACAGAGGUGGCAAACGUUGUUCGGAUUUACUGGGCGUAAAGCGCGUGUAGGCGGCUUUGCAAGUCGGAUGUGAAAUCCCACGGCUCAACCGUGGAAGUGCAUCCGAAACUGCAUCGCUGGAGUCUCGGAGAGGAAGGUGGAAUGCUUGGUGUAGAGGUGAAAUUCGUAGAUAUCAAGCAGAACACCUGCGGCGAAGGCGGCCUUCUGGACGAUGACUGACGCUGAGACGCGAAAGCGUGGGGAGCAAACAGG
rnacentral:rRNA from 1 species